UGCAUCAGCCGCAAGAAUGCGGAAGUGAGAAUUAGCUGAUAGGAAAACACAAAUGUAAAACAAAGAGACGGGAAAAAGGAAAAUGAGAAGGACAAGGAGGGAAAAUGAAAAAGUGAGGGGUGAAGGUACAGAAACAAGAAGUGAAAAGCUUCUUUAUUAAACCUCCUCGUUCCACCGACGUUCCCCUACCCCUCCUGGUUCCUAUAUGGUCAUUCCAUCUUGGCCCCAUAAUUUUUGGGGGUGACCUCUUGUGGUGUUGAGCGGGGUGUUUCACAUUAUGUGGACAGCUGUUUUUUCUGCCUGGGAUGGAAGCUAUCCUUAUUAGACCGCCUGAUGCUGCCGUUUGGACUGCAGCACAUCAUUGAGACACAUCAUCAAGCCACACAAACUCUCUGAAGAAGACCUUCAAAGGUCGAAACGUUUGUUAGAUUGUUUUUACUACAAUGCACAUUUUUGACUGUAUAAACAUUGUUUGUGUACUGCUUGUUAUACAUUUA